rnacentral:rRNA from 1 species
UGCCCAGACUCCUACGGGAGGCAGCAGUGGGGAAUAUUGCACAAUGGGGGGAACCCUGAUGCAGCGACGCCGCGUGGGUGAAGGAGCACCUCGGUGCGUAAAGCCCUAUCGGCAGGGAAGAAACAGGCGGUACCUGACUAAGAAGCCCCGGCUAACUACGUGCCAGCAGCCGCGGUAAUACGUAGGGGGCAAGCGUUAUCCGGAUUCACUGGGUGUAAAGGGAGCGUAGACGGCGACGCAAGUCUGGAGUGAAAAUCCAGCGCUUAACGCUGGAAGUGCUUUGGAAACUGCCGGGCUGGAGUGCAGGAGGGGCAGGCGGAAUUCCUAGUGUAGCGGUGAAAUGCGUAGAUAUUAGGAGGAACACCAGUGGCGAAGGCGGCCUGCUGGACUGCAACUGACGUUGAGGCUCGAAGGCGUGGGGAGCAAACAGGAUUAGAUACCCCAGUA